CUCAUUUUCCACCGGAAGGAGGGAGAAAUUAUGACCGAGAGCCUGACACCUGAUGCUGGCGGCUUUUGUCUCUCCAAGUUGGGCCAGUAUUUGGCCAUCUUAUGCGGCGGGUGACUAUGGUGUCCCAGAAUAUGUAUUACCUGAAAGCAGAGAGCAGUUGUUGCAUUGGAUCAUUCAGAGAGUAUGCAGCCACAACCAUGCCUUAGAUGUGUGUAAUUCAAGUGGAGAAGACACAAGCCAGUGGUUGCAAUAUCAUCAACACUUGAGUGUUCUGUAAUCGAUUAAUGUUUGCCAUGUGCAAGGAAAAGGCAGAGGCAAAAUGGCGUCGGCUUAUGGAAAAAUAAUUUACAAAAAAAAUGAUGGGAUAGUUCUGCCAAAUUUGAGUGAGUGAAAAAACGAGAAAACUUAUUCUGUUAGAGCCUGAGAAAAGGAAGGAAAGUCAGUCCAACAGUGAGUCUAGCCUCAUUUAUUCCAGGAUUGGUGUCAGCAGAAAACCAACAACGAUGUGGUGGCACACAGUGAACUGACCAGACCCAGGCAGCAGUGGCUCUUUUGGUGGCAAUGGUGCCAAGUCACAGGUACUCUCCUUGCUAAUGGCAGAUACCAACAGGCAGACUAUUGCCUGCGUUUAGCUCUGUUAACCAUUGACAGUGAGACAAUCAUGUCUUCAGUGUUCAUACCU
rnacentral:lncRNA from 1 species